GGAAUAGUAUAGAAUUUUCCCUAUGUUCUGCAUACAGGCUAGACAAAGUGAUUUUUUUUCUUUCUCUCUUUUUUUUUUUUUUCUUUUUUGAGACAGAGUCUCUCUGUAGCCCAGGCUCAAUUGCAAUGGCACAGUCUUCGCUCAGUUGAGAGAUCUGUAAAUAUGCAGAGCUACCUGAGAGGAAAUAAUUGCCUCUAAGCCACAGGCAGAAGUGACUGGAGAAAUUACUCAAUAUGCUGAAUAUUGAGUCGACUGGGAAGCCCAACCAAAAAGACGCAUGCAGGGACACCAUGGGGAGCAGAGGAAAGUGCCUGCCCGGGCUUUAAAGGACAACUUGAAAGCAGAGAGCUAUGCCUAGAUGUGCCCGAGUUCAAUUUUAUGAUAUCAGCUAAGUCUUUGGUAGUUUGUGGUGAAUACGUCUUUAUUAGUCUCCUCACAUGACUUCUGUUUGUCAGACACAUUGCUCUAUCGUGAGAAUUCAAAUAUGAGUAAGACACUGUCCCUGCCAUCACAGACUUGGUGGAGAGGAAGCUGCAAAAGAGUCAAUUCUUGUAGAUUCUGCAAAAAUAUUACAAUAGAAAAAAAAAUACAGCCAUGCUUUGUUUUACUGCACUUCACUUUACUGCCUUUCACACGGUUUACAAAUUAAAGGUUUGUGGCAACCCUGCUUCUAGCACGUCUAUUGACACCAUUUUUCCAUCAGCAUGUGCUCACUUCCUGUCUGUGUCAUAUUUUAGUAAUUUUUGCAAUAUUUCAAAAAAAUUUAUUGUCAUUAUAUCCAUUUUGGUAAUCUGUAAUCUGAGGAUCUUUGAUAUUAACAUUUUAAUUGUAUUGGGGUGCCAUAAACCACACCCAUAAAAGAUCGUGAAUUAAUUGAUAAAUGUUGUGUGUGUUCUGACCGUCCCACCAAAGGGCUAUUCCCCCAUUUCUCUUGCUUUAUAUUUGGUAGUCUGGAAUGGAACACACAGUAUGUCAGAGGUAUGCCUAUAAUGUCCAAGCUGAAUCCUAAAUGAUUAUUAAGGAUUAGUAACUUUUUAUCAUGAACCUCAUGUACCCCAUCUAUAAAAAAUAUGCAUUUAUGAAUUAUAUACAUGCAUUACCAUCAACAAUUAAUGGAUAAUAAAACACAAAUUACACACAAAUAGUGAGGUUAAUUGUUAAGAAUACUAUAUAUAUAUAUAUAUAUAAUCAGGACCAAAAAAGUGACAAAUACACAUGUGAUCAUUCUGCAGGUAAUAAUAUAGGAACGGCAUUCAUAAACCAAAUUAUCAGUUGGUUGGAAGUGAAUACAGAUAUUCACACCUGCCUUAUUUUUCCAUACUAAAUGACACCAUUUUCCCAUAUCUUAAAACACAGAAUGUGAAAAGACAAAUUGUAACUUAAAUAAAUAUUAUAUGUAACAACUUAUUCUAAUCUUUUUGAGAACUUCUAGUUUCCUGGCCAAUAUAUUGUCUAAUUGUCUGUGUUUUGUGUGACUAGAAAACAAAGCUCAUACAAUAGUUGAUAUGUCAGUUUCGUUCUUUUUUGUCACUUGCUUGUUCUUGCAAUAAUAGUAUUAAAUUGUCUUCAGUUUACAGUUUCUAUUUAGAAAACCCUUUAUGACCUUUCCCCAUUUUGUAAGGAUCAAUUUAUUUAGAAUAAGAGUAUAACCCAUAAACCCACUUAACUUGGCAUGCAUAAGCUACAAACAUUGCUCUGCACAGUGCUAACAAGAAAGAGGCUUCUGCCAUGCCCUUUCCCCAUUGUGGAACUUCCUUUCUUUUUCAAAAUCCCUCAAGGGCAUCAGUACUUAGUCAGAGUAAACAUUUAUAACGUUUUACUCAUUCUUACUUCAUAGAUAGAAAUGUAUAAAUAAGAACUGCAUAUUUUCUUCCCACUUUUUGAUGGAUCACCCUGUGCAAACCCUGUGAUACACAGCAUGAAACCAUUAUGGUACAAUUUAGCCAGGCAUUGGACAAAGAAAGCAGGGCAUGCAAACUUCCUGAGGCAAGAGGGAACAUGGUCUUUUUGAAGAAGCACUACACUGUGAGCUUUGGCGUCAGAGCUCCUGGUCUUUGUUUGGGCUGUUGCUGUGAACAAGAUAUUUGCAUUGUCACUGUGUUAGUUUUGUGUCAAUAAAUGAGAGUGAUAGUGUUUAUUUGAUAGUGUUAAGGUGGCAUUUAAUAAUAAUAAUGUAGCAAACUAGUAAAUUGGAAUAUUAAUCCAUGUUAUUUUCUUUUUCUGAAUUCCUUAUAUGUGAAUCCCCUCCCACCCCCGUAGGUAAAGAGUUUCACUAUUGUGUUAGAGAGAAAUAGAAUUUUAUAGUGCAAAAACAAAACAAAAAAGAUCAAAAUAUAAUCACUGUUUGGUUUCUUUUAUUUUUUACUUGUAGAACAGACGUUUUAGAGUAUUAUUUUUAAAAAAAGAAGAAGGUUUUCACAGCCAAAGUAAUAAAUAUGGAAAGAGACUGGAAGAAGAAUUAGAUCAUUCCACCCACACCCCCUUGAGAAAUCAAGGUGAGUCACCUGUAUUGAUGUGGGAGGGAUGGAGAGUUGGUGAAUAAGGUAUGGCCUUAUUGGACAUCAAAGGUGGGAGAAAAGGGAGCUGAAUCUGAGAUGAGUAGGUGGAGAGAAGUGAGGUCAGCAUGCGCAGAUGCACAAACACUCUGGGAGCCGCAUGGAAGCUAAGCCAACAGCAAGAAACAUUACUCAGAGUAACAUUUACUCAGACAGAGAAGACAUGCUGGCUGUACCUCUCCUCACAGAGGGGUGUGGGCCUCUGGUCAUCAGGUCCCUUCAUGAGAAUUUUCUGAGCUCAGUGCAGACUUCCUGGGUAUUCAUGUGCACUCUUUUUUGAAGGCCCGGAAUAUUCUAAGUUUCCCAAAAUUAAUCUGGAGGUCUUUAACAUACAGAAGGGUAGAAGUGUCAUAGAAGGAAAACCCCAGCAUUGAGAGCAGUGCUUGAGUAAACUGGACAAUGGGACAUUCCAUUCUACUAUGGCAACAAUCAUAAUGAGAAAAGUGACCAGCAUUUUAUAGAACAUCUACCAUUUUAUCAGGCAGUGUACUAUUAAACACGUCAUAUACAUUGCAUCUUUUAACCCAGUUCUUAAUCUCUACACUACACUGUUCUUAAUAUCUACACUCUACUGCCUCCCAGAUAAAAUGACAAAACAGAUUUAAAGUAUUUAUAUGUAUAUGGUGCUUGCUUAUGAUUUUCACAUUAAUAUCAUGGAAGAAGAUGGUUGAAAAUGGGGAACAUACUGGUUAUCUGCUGUAAUACCAAAAGAGUAAAGACUGUGUCAGAAACUUUUAAGACUCAGAUAUCAAAGUUCAGAAACGUUUGUUUUAUUUUUCUAGAUGUAUUUUUUUAAUUCACAAAUAGUUUAAUUUUCUUAUUUCAUGGCUGAACACAAAGAGAUAGGUCAGGAAUUGAGAGUUUCUCUUCUUUCCUUGUUUUUUAUUCUCUAGGUUAAAAGACAAUAAAUGCCUACUAAGGCUUAAUGUUCUCAUUCCAUUUGUUUCACCUGUCUUCAAGAUACUUUGACUCAUCUCUAAAUCUUUUCUCAGCAUUUUCCCCUUUGAGGUGUUUGCUAUUUCUCAGGUAUCCAUUGAUGGGAAAUAAUUUUUACUCCUCUUUGGUCCAAAGCAGGAGCCUGACUGUGACUGAGGGGUGAGGUUAACUGUGUGAGGGUGAGAAAUCAGUAACCCUGCGAUGGCCACACAUCUAAGCCAAGUCCUCCAACCUAUAUCCAACUUCUGGAUAUAUCUCUCAAAUGAUUCCAGAGUAGGCAUUUAUUGAUUGAUCUGCCAAAAUCACAUAAUACAAAGCAAAAAGCCAGAACAGUAGUGUCUGUUUUAAGAAUGUUUCAAAAUUAUACUUAAACAUUAUGAAAUUGUAUCAAUAUUGUAGAGUAGUGUUAUAUAAUGUGCAUUCAUUCUUCAAGCAUUUAUUGGAUCACCAUCACGUGCUGGACUCCAAGGAUAUAAGAAUGAGAAAACAUACAAUUCUUAUAAUUCUGGGGCUUGGUGUGUAGUAGGAUAGACAGAUAUUAAUAUUAAUCAAAGAGCCAAAAAUAAAUGUGAAACUGCCAAUGGCAACAGUCACUAAAAAGCAGUGUUACAUGGUACUUUGAAAGCACAUCACAGGAGAACUUGACCUACUCAGCAAGGCCAGGUAAGGCUUUCCCAAAGAAAUGGAAAUUGAGUUUAAACUUGAAGGAAAAAUCUUCCCACUUGAGGGGACUAGUAUACACUCAGCAUCUACGUUGUAAGUCCUAUUUAAAUCAUUUCUUGGCUAUGACCACUCCCUUUCUAUAUAAUUUUGUUUAAAAUGAAAACAAAGCCACAGAUAUACACAUAGAGAUCACAAUGGACUUAAGAAGUUCCUUUCCAAAGUAGCUAACAUGGCAAAAUGUCUAAUUCCGAAAUUAGCUAAGAAAAAUCUUGCAAAAAAAUACCAUCAUCAAUUGACCAAAAAUCAAAGGUCGUUAGCCUGGAAAUAUAGGAGUUAGAAUGUCAGUGAAAGGAAAGCAGUUAGCAUACUAUAACUAGCAGCAGACAUAAACAAAACAUUGGAAAAGGAAAUUGUUUGAGUAUUUCAACCUUUCUGAUAUGUGUUUGUUUUUCAGAAUUCCUAACUAUUCUUUGUGUUUAGGCAUAGCCUGAAAUAAUGUUUUCAUUAACUUCCACAGACUUAUUUUGACACAAAAGUGCUAAACUAUAGUUAUUUUCCAAGAUGAAACAAUUUCUGCAUCUGCAUAUACAGGUGCACCCAGCAAAUCACUGAAACCUAAAGCAAACUUUUAAAAGCCAUGACCUAUGUAAAACAAAACUGGAAUCUUUUUCUCAGAAAUCCAUGCUUACAAAAACAGCUUCUAAAAUAAGUGUUAUUUAUGCCAGGGGAGCACCAUGGUGCAACUGUGGUAUUUAUAUGUUCCUUUAAGGUAUUGUUAAUUUUUCUAUUUCUAAACUCCCUACAUAGUUGCAGACUGCAAGAAGAUUUUGAUUAUGUAAUAAUUUGUAAAUGUAAUAAAAUGCUAUUUUGAAAGCACUGUGUGCCCCCCGCCCCCCAAUUGUUACCUCUUCUCAAAUGACCUAAAUAAAUUUUAUCAAUGAGCUGUUGCUCCAAUUGCUAUUUACCAAAUGAUAAACUUGACCUAAAAAAGAAACUUUAAUAAAGCCAAAUUUAAAAUCGCUGUGUUUCAUUCUCAUGCAAACAUGACAUUUAAAUUAAUAGCAUCUAUCUCCUUCCCUUAGGACAUAUAGUAUAAUUUGAAAAACUACAUAUGUAUAUUCAUUUCUUCCUUUCUUUUUCUGGUUCAGACACAUUGUUAUUGAGAAUUUAAAAUACUGUCCUUGCAGUUCCUUUUCAUCUUCACCAAGUUCUAUUUAAAAAUUAACAUGGUUUUAAUAAAGCCCAUUAUGUCUUUAAUGAGCUAUCAAGAAUAUAAACAGGUAACAUAUUAUCUUUACUCCAUAAGCAAAUAACAUCUUUGAUGCUUUUCUUUUCUAAACCAGUUUGGAUCAUAAAAAAGGAAGCAUGGUUUGCAUGUUUCACCUGUGUCAAAAAGUAUCUCAGCUUCUGUGACAUUUUGAAAGCUUUAUAAGCAAGAGAAAUGUUGCAUAUAAAUGAUAUCACACCCUAUGUUUUAGCUAGUUAUGCCUCAAUCCUGUAUUGAUUAUGGGCCAUAUAACUUCAGGCAGACAAAAG
rnacentral:lncRNA from 10 species